rnacentral:tRNA from 1 species
GGGGUUGUAGCUUAGUGGUAAAGCAUUUGCCUAGUAUGUAGGAUUUCAUCCCCA